rnacentral:rRNA from 1 species
UACGUAGGGCGCAAGCGUUGUCCGGAAUUAUUGGGCGUAAAGAGCUCGUAGGUGGCUUGUCGCGUCUGCCGUGAAAGCCCAUGGCUUAACUGUGGGUCUGCGGUGGAUACGGGCAGGCUGGAGGCUGGUAGGGGCAAGCGGAAUUCCUGGUGUAGCGGUGAAAUGCGCAGAUAUCAGGAGGAACACCAGUGGCGAAGGCGGCACUCUGGGCCGGUACUGACGCUGAGGAGCGAAAGCGUGGGGAGCGAACAGG